rnacentral:lncRNA from 1 species
AAAGGAAUCCAAAUACUAGAAAUGGCUUCCCACCAGCAAGUGUACUCCAACUUUCACUGUUCUCUCCAACGGCUGUAGUACUAGUAAAACAACAAAGGUACUUGGCGCCACAAAAAUUAGAAGGGAGACCAAUGAUCUAAUCCCAGCUACAAAGCCAGCUUACAUGGACCAAACAGUAGACCACACACACACACUAGCCAUGGCCAUCGACUUGAACUUAGCAGCACCAGAUGAGCGAGAGGAAGAAGAUGGCAGGUUGCCUGAUCUCAAUUGGCAACCUGUACAGGAAGAAGAUGAAGCUGCCUUGGAUGAGCAAGCUGUACAAGAAGAAGAUGGACUUUGGAUUAAAAUUAUUUAUCCAAUUGUUUAUUUAGUAUGCACAAAAUUGAUCUUUUCAUAUCCAAUAUCUAGCAUCUGUAACUUCAAAGACCAGGACUUAUUGUUCGUUCGUCAACAUAAUACAAAUUAUGCAACCGAAAAUUGUAACGACACUGUCAUCUACCAACCAUAGUACGAAUCAAAGAUUGCAUCAGCCAACCUACUAGAUAAGAUUGCAAUGAUAUGCAGCCACACUUAGAUUGCAUCCAGCCAACUACUUUUCAUACUUGACAAGAUUAAACUGAUUUGCAUCUGGCCAGACUAAAUCCGGACUAAUUGACAAGAUAACCGUUGUAUUGCAACGGAUCAUGCAAGCCUCAACGUUAGAGACCAAGACUUGAUUAUUCAUUCACGGAGUACAGCUUGCAUCGCCAAACUUACAGAGCUACUGGUACUCACGGAGUAGUAGAAUUGCUUGUCUUCUCCACGGCGUCCUGGUCAGCCCCAAGACCAGCUUGCCCGGCACCUGCCGGUGCGCCGUUUUGCCCAGCACUUGCCGCCGGGCCGUCCUGCCCAGCCGCAUGAGCCGCUCCACCGCAGGGUACAGUGCCUACGUGCCCGACACCGGCUUCACCGCCAACCCCUGCUCCAUCUACCAGCUCUAGGUACCUGAAAUUUUUUGCUCCGACGCCGCUCCGCCGAACCCGAUUGGUCUUCGAGGGCGAACGAGGACGGAACCUGG